CCUACGGGGUGCAGCAGUGAGGAAUAUUGGUCAAUGGUCGGGAGACUGAACCAGCCAAGCCGCGUGAGGGAUGAAGGUACAGAGUAUCGUAAACCUCUUUUGUCAGGGAACAAAGGCGGGGACGUGUCCCCGGAUGAGUGUACCUGAAGAAAAAGCAUCGGCUAACUCCGUGCCAGCAGCCGCGGUAAUACGGAGGAUGCGAGCGUUAUCCGGUUUUAUUGGGUUUAAAGGGUGCGCAGGCGGUCUGUUAAGUCAGCGGUAAAAGCCCGGGGCUCAACCCCGGCCCGCCGUUGAAACUGGCAGUCUCGAGUUGGAGAGAAGUAUGCGGAAUGCGCGGUGUAGCGGUGAAAUGCAUAGAUAUCGCGCAGAACUCCGAUUGCGAAGGCAGCAUGCCGGCUCCACACUGACGCUGAGGCACGAAAGCGUGGGUAUCGAACAGGAUUAGAUACCCUAGUAGUC
rnacentral:rRNA from 1 species